AAUGUCACUUUUAUAAACAAAUAAAAGUUAAAACUUAACAAUAUUAUUGUAAAUUUGCAAUUGGAAGCUGCAAAAGGGACAUUAGAAUGUCAGAAAGGUCGGACCAAUUUUCAAUUUAAGUGGAAUUUACGGAAGGUGCAAAGAUUUGACCUCACAACUAAUCUGCAAAAUGAAGAAGCAACAUAUUUUGUUAACGCUUAGAAGAAACAAUAGAAAUAGUACUGUGGAUUGAUAAAUAAAGAGUGAAAAUAAGAUUGAUUAGAAGUUGAUAAAGUCCAAGGAAUUAAAAAACAAUAGAAAAAAAACGUAGACUAGUGUGAACACUGAUAUUAGAGUUUAAUUUAAGCUUUAAUUAGGUUUGGUGUU